GGACUACUGGGGUAUCUAAUCCUGUUUGCUCCCCACGCUUUCGCGCCUCAGCGUCAGUAUCGAUCCAGAAAGCCGCCUUCGCCUCUGGUGUUCUUCCUAAUAUCUACGAAUUUCACCUCUACACUAGGAAUUCCGCUUUCCUCUAUCGAUCUCUAGCCACCCAGUAUUAAACGCAAUUCCUAGGUUGAGCCUAGGGCUUUCACGUCUAACUUAAGUGGCCGCCUACGCGCCCUUUACGCCCAGUAAUUCCGAACAACGCUAGCUCCAUCCGUCUUACCGCGGCUGCUGGCAC
rnacentral:rRNA from 1 species